rnacentral:tRNA from 1 species
AAAGAUUUAGUUUACAAAAAAUAUUAAUUUGUCAGAUUAAAGUAUUAUAUCUUUA